rnacentral:rRNA from 1 species
AGAGUUUGAUCCUGGCUCAGAUUGAACGCUGGCGGCAUGCUUAAUACAUGCAAGUCGAACGGUAACAGGUCCUUCGGGAUGCUGACGAGUGGCGGACGGGUGAGUAAUGCAUAGGAAUCUGCCCAGUAGUAGGGGACAACCUGAGGAAACUCAGGCUAAUACCGUAUAAGUCCUACGGGAGAAAGGGGGCCUCUUCUUGAAAGCUCUCGCUAUUGGAUGAGCCUAUGUCGGAUUAGCUUGUUGGUGGGGUAACGGCCUACCAAGGCGACGAUCCGUAGCUGGUCUGAGAGGACGAUCAGCCACACUGGGACUGAGACACGGCCCAGACUCCUACGGGAGGCAGCAGUAGGGAAUAUUGGACAAUGGGCGAAAGCCUGAUCCAGCAAUGCCGCGUGUGUGAAGAAGGCCUGCGGGUUGUAAAGCACUUUCAGUUGGGAAGAAAAUCUUUAGGUUAAUAUCCUAAAGUCUUGACGUUACCAACAGAAGAAGCACCGGCUAACUCUGUGCCAGCAGCCGCGGUAAUACAGAGGGUGCGAGCGUUAAUCGGAAUUACUGGGCGUAAAGCGUGCGUAGGCGGUUAAGUCAGCCGGAUGUGAAAGCCCAAGGCUUAACCUUGGAACGGCAUUCGAUACUGCUUAGCUAGAGUACAGUAGAGGGAAGC